rnacentral:lncRNA from 1 species
AAAAUGUAAAGCCCAAGCUCAUACUCACAGGUAAUGCCCCUCAUAAGCCACUUUGUGUAUGGGAAGCAGUUUUGCCUCACCAGGCACAUUGCCACUUCCUCCAUAUUUCAAAUGCAGACCUAUGCAGUCUAGACUACAUCCUCCAGCUGCUUGAAACAAUACUGAUACACGAUCAUCUGCUAAGGCCUUGACAUCUCCGUCUCAAAAGAGGAUAAAGAACUUAUAUUUAUAUCCAAAGUGAUUUAUAGAUCAUCAUAAAAACAAACCCAAACCCAAACCCAUAAAAACAAUCCUUAUUUUCAGAUAUAUUUAAGUUAAAACUUUACUAAAGCACAGAAUAUUUUUUGUGGCAAAUAUAAAACUGAAAAUCAAAAUAAGAGGUGUACAGAUACAAGUUCAAGUGCUCACCUGAGUGCUCUGCUUUGACUGUAAGCAUUACAACUGAGGACUUUCAAACCAACAUAUUUCAAACAUACUUCAUUAAUUAAUACCAAUAUAAUUCUGUAUGUGGAAGGAAAGGUACAAGUGAGGGAGGGAUGGAGUGGAGUAAAGAGAAACACAGAAGGGCAAGAACACAUAUAGCAAUCUCUCCUUGACUGAAAUGGAUUGCUUUCAACUCUGCCACUCCUUCACAUGCAUUAAAGAAACAUGUAAGCAUCACUCCAGUCCAGCAGAAACAGUCAUGUAUACUUCCUUUCCUUCUAGCUAAUUUCCCCUUUUUUUCCUACAAGACCUCACCACUCAGGCAAGAUGUAUGCCAGUGCAGAGGUGAAUUUCUCUUUUCCUGACUACGUAUCACUAUGAUUAAAAUGCUCCAGCACAUCACAGUAACCACAUUCAGCUGUAACCUCUAAUGGUGUUACUCAAUAUUUGUCCUUAAUGUUCACAUCUCCAUAAUUCUUCAGAAUGUCAACAAUGUCUUUGCAUCUCUGUUUUGCAGCUUCUUGCAUUGAUGACCAAUACAUUUUUCCUUGUAAUUUAUGGUAUUGGGAUAAACACCCUUUUCCAGGAUCAUUUGCACCUUUUCCACAAAGCCAGUUUUUGCUGACAAAUGCCAAAGAACAAUCUAUUAAAGAAGAUAAAGGACUUUGGACUCUCUGCACUAUUUCUGCAGUCGUGAAGUUUAAUGGACAUUCACAUGAGUUUGGUACACAAGGUCAGGUGAUGGUGAAGCCAUGCCAGCUAUUAUUUUCAAGAAAGAUCUUCCUGCAAAUAGAGAAGGAACAUUGGAACUGCUAUUUAGAAGAAAUCUUCUGA